UCGACCAAUCAGAGGCACGCAUCGAUAAAGUUACCACCGCGUGAAGCUGAAAAGAGAGGAAAACGAAUACGGAUGCAUCUAUUUGCACUGAUGAGGAUGAAUUUACCAUCUGUAGUUUGAAAGACGUGAGGACACAGGCGUGAAAUGCAUCGCAAUGAGGGUCACUCUUUCUGGAACGGACUGUGACGGUGGCUGUCUUUGAAAGAGCUAUUUUGACCCAUUAGUGCUUCAGACAAAGAUCUGGAUCUGCCAUCACCCCCAUGACAGCACAGGAAACCUACCAUUAUUUCCAAUGUCCUGUCUGAGUGAUGAAACCAGACGGUUGAGUCUACUCCAGUCAAGAUGCACUUGGGAAACUGCCCCGUGGUAGCGAGCGAGGCAUUAAGAUCAGUGGUGUGAGGAAAUGUGGAGAACGAGAGCUGGGAGCAUUGAUCUGUGACUGCAGAUAGCAGAGAGGCCGUGAGGGGUCAAGCAGCCUGCCGGCCGGAUGACACCCCCUGCAUUCAUCCAACGCACACAAACCUGCCCACAGCAGAUGUGGGUCACUGGCUAGAGCACAUCUACUCAUUAUGGGCUUGUCUGUUUGACGGACACACCCGGGAGAUAAGCAUCCCAGGUGGUCUGGUGUGGGCUGAAACAUGAACGUCCUCAGUGUCUGUGGCAUACCUGUGAAGCACAGCCCUCAGACUGGCAGUCUCCAUGUUCAGAGGAAACCCUACACUUCACACCCUGUGCUCGCA